GGGAGAGCGUGUGGCCCCCGUGGAGUGGGAGGGGCGGCGGUGGUGGGAGUUAGGAGAGGCUGUUGCGGGAGUAUUUCGGGAGGUGCGAGAGGGACGGGACGCCCGUGGGCUCCUUCCACCUCGGCCGUUCUGUGGUGGUGUCACAGGAGGAGCUGAAGCGUUUCACAAAGGCGGGCAUUAUGCCACAACGUUGGAAGUAGAAUUGUUUUUAAUGCGUAUAUUCGCUUUCCGCUUGCUUCUUUCCCUACCCAGUCUCUCACAGCCAAGUCCAAAGUCUCUCGUCGAAUUCUGGGACAGAAAGGCGCUGCAGUCGCUCUCAUGCAGGCAGGAGCCUCUCGGCCACACGCCAGGCAAACCACCAUCCUCACCUUCUUCAGCUCGCAGACAGAUGAAACAGACAAAGAAAACUUCAGGCCACCUCCUUUCAACCUGAAUAAAGACUCUAAAGAAAAAGGUAUUUCUCUGGCUGCUGCCCCUGUGAAGAUCUUGGCUUUGCCGCAGCUGGGGGAAGCCCAGAAACAACCCUUUGGGUUCGAGGGGACGGCGCAGGUGACGCCCCAGCGCCAUGCACAGGCAGCACCGGCCUCGCCGCCUCCUUUGCCAGGCUCUGGGUUGUUACCGGCGGAGUCCCACAGCCCGAGGGAAACCUCCUGUGGGGCGGAAGAGGAUUCCUGCUGCUUCAGCCUCACCCAGGAUUCAGAGGGCAACCGGAUCAUCGCACACAGAAACAGGUCUGGUUUAUUGGCUGGAGAAACCCUUCCAGAGGGUGGGAUAGUGGAGCGAGAGGAGGCCAAGACCAGACUGGAUUUCCAACCAAGACUUGGUGCAAGCCGGAAUAAGAAACCGCACUCCUCGAGUAGUGUUGAUUCCUUAACUGAUUUCUCUGAAACUGAGAAUAUAAAUCCUGCUCUAACGGGAGACAGUACCUGGGCUGCCGGGUUUUAUUCAUCUCCACGCCGAGCAGCUCGAGCACAGCCCCUGCGGGAGUGUGGCCGCUCCCCCGGCGCUGCCUCAGCCGAGGGCCGUGAGGCGGGACGGAGCCGUCCCUGCAGUCAGCUCUUCACCCAGGAUUCGGAGGGGAACAGAGUCAUCGCCCACCGGUGCCGGGACGCCCCGCCGCCUCCUGGGGGCGAGGGCAGCGCUGGUAGGCAGCUGCCCGACUCUCCCUGCGGGGUUCGCUCCGGCCAUGCUGCGAGGAGCUGGAGCGAGGCGCGGGAGCAGCCGUUAGAGGUGUGCUACGAGUCGCUGUUCACGCAGGACUCGGAGGGGAACAGGGUGAUUAAACACUGAUCAGGGACGUGACUGCUUGUGAAGCCUUUUUUUUGUAAGUGUUGGGAAUUAGGUAAGUGUACUCACUGUUUCUAUAUGUACAGUCUAGCCAGCAGAUGCACUAGAUCUGUGCCAACAGGCAGGACCUCCUUGUUCUCUGAAAUUUUGCUUUAAUAAAAAUAAAAUUUAAA
rnacentral:lncRNA from 1 species